rnacentral:rRNA from 1 species
CAGCAGCCGCGGUAAUACGUAGGUGGCGAGCGUUGUCCGGAAUUAUUGGGCGUAAAGGGAGCGCAGGCGGACAUAUAAGUCCAUCUUAAAAGUGCGGGGCUCAGCCCCGUGAGGGGAUGGAAACUGUAUGCCUUGAGUGCAGGAGAGGAAAGCGGAAUUCCCAGUGUAGCGGUGAAAUGCGUAGAUAUUGGGAGGAACACCAGUGGCGAAGGCGGCUUUCUGGACUGUAACUGACGCUGAGGCUCGAAAGCCAGGGGAGCGAACGGGAUUAGAUACCCGCGUAGUCCCUGUCUCUUAUACA